GACGAACGCUGGCGGCGUGCUUAACACAUGCAAGUCGAACGGAAAGGCCCUGCUUUUGUGGGUUGCUCGAGUGGCGACCGGGUGAUUACCCCGUGAUUAACCUGCCCUUGACUUUGGGAUAACUUCAGGAAACUGGGGCUAAUACCGGAUAGGGGCUCCUGCUGCAUGGUGGGGGUUGGAAAGUUUCGGCGGUUGGGGAUGGACUCGCGGCUUAUCAGCUUGUUGGUGGGGUAGUGGCUUACCAAGGCUUUGACGGGUAGCCGGCCUGAGAGGGUGACCGGCCACAUUGGGACUGAGAUACGGCCCAGACUCCUACGGGAGGCAGCAGUGGGGAAUAUUGCACAAUGGGCGGAAGCCUGAUGCAGCAACGCCGCGUGCGGGAUGACGGCCUUCGGGUUGUAAACCGCUUUCGCCUGUGACGAAGCGUGAGUGACGGUAAUGGGUAAAGAAGCACCGGCUAACUACGUG
rnacentral:rRNA from 1 species